rnacentral:tRNA from 1 species
GUAGUAUAUAUAAAUGAUUUUGAAAAUCACUAAAGAUGGAUAAAACCACCAUACUACU